GCUAAUGAAGAGAAUGUGUUGUUCUGUGGCUGGAAAGACUGCGAGGCUUCUUUCAAGGGCAGGUUUAAGUUGCGAGAGCACAUGCGUAGCCACACACAGGAAAAGCUGGUGGCAUGUCCGACCUGUGGAGGAAUGUUUGCCAACAACACAAAGUUCUUUGACCACAUUCGACGGCAAACCUCCAUAGAAUGUCAAAGAUUUCAGUGUUCUCACUGCUCUAAACGUUUUGCCACUGAGAGGCUGCUGAGA